CUUGACUGUUGCUCGGCGGUUUCAUGAGGAGGACGUCGGCGCUUUGGGAACAUGGCUGGUGUUUUUCAAGUAAUGGCAUUUGGAGUUCGGGCGUUGGACAAGAAGGAUCUUGAUCCUUCUUUCAAGGCUAAGCUUGCUAAGAUUGCCAUGGCCUAGAUGAUUUCCUCCAAGUCUUCUAUUGAGUGAAGACUACUGGCUGAAGUCCUUCCACGGCAGGAAAAAGGCAGGAUAAUGUCCCCAUUGUUGGACCGGAACAAGAAACGGAAGCUAGUCGUCAUUUGCCUCAGCCUUUAACAGAAGUGUUGUUGAUGAGCUGUCUUAUACAGCCUUAUGUGUUGUAUACACCCAUGGAGAUGUAUAUAUGAUCUUUGGAAUCUGGACUCACGAGAAUAGGAGUGUGGCUAAGGAGUCGUCACCAGGUUCUUUCCUUUCUUUCUUCUUCGGGUUUAAAUGUAGGCAAUGAAGACUCAUGUUUUCUCCAACUAUCUACAUAACAAUACAUGUUAAACAGUGGAUAUGGCUUUUUUGUUGAAAUAUUUUGUCAAGAUGAAAGGAUUUACUUCACCAUUUCCCUUAGUUAGACGUUUUGGAUACUUUGAUAUC